AGGUGAUGAUGGGUAUGAUGAUGAUGGUGAUGAUGAAGAUUUUUCUUUUCAGUUGCGUUUUGGGGAGACAUUGCGUUGGACGAGGAGGAUCUCCGGAUGUUUCAGAUCGACAGGACAAUAGACGUGACGCAACACACACACACUCACACACACUCCAGACAAGGACAAACGACUGAGGAACAUGUCAUCUCAAAGAAGAAAGGAUUGUUCCUCCUCCUCCUGGACAAAAUACGGAGGUUUGGCUUCGACUAUAGGCCUAUGAACUCCAGUCAAGAAUCAGCCUCCGGUCCCAGGACCCAGACUGGGAAAACAGCUGCUGGAAGGACUGGGAAGGCUGGGAAAACCGUAAAGAGUGGGAAUACUGUGAAGUCGGCUAGAUUUGGGAAAACAGAGAAUGCCUGGAGUGUUGUUGUGAAGAAUCGUGUUCCCAGAGCAGCAACCUCCCGAGCUGAGAGGAUCUGGCCAG